rnacentral:rRNA from 1 species
AUACGUAUGGUGCAAGCGUUGUUCGGAAUCACUGGGCGUAAAGCGCGCGCAGGCGGAUAAUUAAGUCGGAUGUGAAAUUUCCGGGCUCAACCCGGAGGCUGCAUCUGAAACUAGUUUUCUAGAGUCUCGGAGAGGUAGGCGGAAUUCUCGGUGUAGCGGUGAAAUGCGUAGAUAUCGAGAGGAACACCAAUGGCGAAGGCAGCCUACUGGACGAUGACUGACGCUCAGGCACGAAAGCGUGGGGAGCAAACAGGAUUAGAAACCCUAGUAGUCC